rnacentral:ncRNA from 1 species
AUAAUUAACUAUACUUAAUUAAAUACAUAACAUAUCUUAAGGAGAUAAGUGAUGAGAAAGAAACUAAGCCUGAUUCUUGGGGCUAUUUUAUCAGUC